rnacentral:rRNA from 1 species
GGAAGAAAGCAAUCCCAUAAACCGUGGCUCAGUUCAGAUCGUAGGCUGCAACUCGCCUACGUGAAGAAGGAAUCGCUAGUAAUCGCAGGUCAGCAUACUGCGGUGAAUACGUUCCCGGGCCUUGUACACACCGCCCGUCACACCAUGGAAGUUGGCCACGCCCGAAGUCGUUACUCCAACCCUUGUGGAGGAGGACGCCGAAGGUGGGGCUGAUGACUGGGGUGAAGUCGUAACAAGGUAUCCGUACCGGAAGGUGCGGAUGGAUCACCUCCUAA